AACGAGCGCUGGCGGCAUGCCUAACACAUGCAAGUCGAACGAGACCUUCGGGUCUAGUGGCGCACGGGUGCGUAACGCGUGGGAACCUGCCCUUAGGUUCGGAAUAACUCCCCGAAAGGGGUGCUAAUACCGGAUAAUGUCUUCGGACCAAAGAUUUAUCGCCUUUGGAUGGGCCCGCGUUGGAUUAGCUAGUUGGUAGGGUAAAAGCCUACCAAGGCGACGAUCCAUAGCUGGUCUGAGAGGAUGAUCAGCCACACUGGGACUGAGACACGGCCCAGACUCCUACGGGAGGCAGCAGUGGGGAAUAUUGGACAAUGGGCGAAAGCCUGAUCCAGCAAUGCCGCGGGAGUGAUGAAGGCCUUAGGGUUGUAAAGCUCUUUUACCCGGGAUGAUAAUGACAGUACCGGGAGAAUAAGCUCCGGCUAACUCCGU
rnacentral:rRNA from 1 species